GAGUUAUCUGAACCUUCGGGGAACGAUAACGGCGUCGAGCGGCGGACGGGUGAGUAAUGCCUAGGAAAUUGCCCUGAUGUGGGGGAUAACCAUUGGAAACGAUGGCUAAUACCGCAUGAUGCCUACGGGCCAAAGAGGGGGACCUUCGGGCCUCUCGCGUCAGGAUAUGCCUAGGUGGGAUUAGCUAGUUGGUGAGGUAAGGGCUCACCAAGGCGACGAUCCCUAGCUGGUCUGAGAGGAUGAUCAGCCACACUGGAACUGAGACACGGUCCAGACUCCUACGGGAGGCAGCAGUGGGGAAUAUUGCACAAUGGGCGCAAGCCUGAUGCAGCCAUGC
rnacentral:rRNA from 1 species